GCAAAUUGAUUUAUUUUGCGGGAUAAUUAGAAGCAGGAUAAUUUCAGAAAUUCGAUUUUUUUUCUGUAACCACAAUGACCAUGUUUCAGUGCUGAAACGCACCUGUUUGACCGACUUUUUUGUCUAUUAUGUUUCCUGUACCUGAUAAAUCGAUAGCACCAAUCCCAGCAAGUACUUAAUUUUGACAUCUCUGAGGGAAAUUGAGAUGACUUGGAGGAAUAAAU